rnacentral:rRNA from 1 species
UACGGAGGAUGCAAGCGUUAUCCGGAAUGAUUGGGCGUAAAGCGUCCGCAGGUGGCGAUGUAAGUCUGCUGUUAAAGAGUGAGGCUCAACCUCAUAAGAGCAGUGGAAACUACAUAGCUAGAGUGCGUUCGGGGCAGAGGGAAUUCCUGGUGUAGCGGUGAAAUGCGUAGAGAUCAGGAAGAACACCGGUGGCGAAAGCGCUCUGCUAGGCCGCAACUGACACUGAGGGACGAAAGCUAGGGGAGCAAACGGG